rnacentral:rRNA from 1 species
CACCAGCGCCACGAGUGGCAGCCACAUUUAUUGGGCUUAAAGCGUCCGUAGCAGGUUGGUUAAAUCCUUUGUGAAAUCGUUAGGCUUAACCUAACGACGUGCUUGGGAGACUGGCCAACUAGAGACCGGGAGGGGUUAGAGGUAUUUUUGGGGGAGCGGUAAAAUGUUAUAAUCCCAAAAAGACCACCUAUGGCGAAGGCAUCUAACUAGAACGGAUCUGACUGUGAGGGACGAAAGCCAGGGGAGCAAACCGG